rnacentral:rRNA from 1 species
GAUGAACGCUGGCGGCGUGCCUAAUACAUGCAAGUCGAGCGAACAGACGAGGAGCUUGCUCCUCUGACGUUAGCGGCGGACGGGUGAGUAACACGUGGAUAACCUACCUAUAAGACUGGGAUAACUUCGGGAAACCGGAGCUAAUACCGGAUAAUAUAUUGAACCGCAUGGUUCAAUAGUGAAAGACGGUUUUGCUGUCACUUAUAGAUGGAUCCGCGCCGCAUUAGCUAGUUGGUAAGGUAACGGCUUACCAGGGCAACGAUGCGUAGCCGACCUGAGAGGGUGAUCGGCCACACUGGAACUGAGACACGGUCCAGACUCCUACGGGAGGCAGCAGCAGGGAAUCUUCCGCAAUGGGCGAAAGCCUGACGGAGCAACGCCGCGUGAGUGAUGAAGGUCUUCGGAUCGUAAAACUCUGUUAUUAGGGAAGAACAAAUGUGUAAGUAACUAUGCACGUCUUGACGGUACCUAAUCAGAAAGCCACGGCUAACUACGUG